rnacentral:rRNA from 1 species
AGUGAACGCUGGCGGUAGGCCUAACACAUGCAAGUCGAACGGCAGCACAGUAAGAGCUUGCUCUUACGGGUGGCGAGUGGCGGACGGGUGAGGAAUACAUCGGGAUCUACUUUUUCGUGGGGGAUAACGUAGGGAAACUUACGCUAAUACCGCAUACGACCUACGGGUGAAAGCAGGGGAUCUUCGGACCUUGCGCGAUUGAAUGAGCCGAUGUCGGAUUAGCUAGUUGGCGGGGUAAAGGCCCACCAAGGCGACGAUCCGUAGCUGGUCUGAGAGGAUGAUCAGCCACACUGGAACUGAGACGCGGUCCAGACUCCUACGGGAGGCAGCAGUGGGGAAUAUUGGACAAUGGGCGCAAGCCUGAUCCAGCCAUACCGCGUGGGUGAAGAAGGCCUUCGGGUUGUAAAGCCCUUUUGUUGGGAAAGAAAAGCAGCAGGUUAAUACCCCGCUGUUCUGACGGUACCCAAAGAAUAAGCACCGGCUAACUUCGUG